GGGGAUGUAGCUCAGAUGGUAGAGCGCUCGCUUAGCAUGCGAGAAGUACGGGGAUCGAUACCCUGAAUCUCCA
rfam:Daphnia pulex DAPPTscaffold_6198_Cont16924, whole genome shotgun sequence.